rnacentral:lncRNA from 1 species
CCCAAGCCUUCGAUGAGAUCGCAACGCCCAACGUUACUUUGAUUUCGGCCUGGUGAGACCCUGAGAAGAGGUCCAGCUAACUCAUGCCUGGCUCCUGACCCAUGGAAAUUAUCAGAUAAUACAAUUUUGUUGUUUUAAGCCAAAAAAUGUGUGGUAAUUUGCAGCAAUAGAAAACUAAUACACAUUAGGCUCAUGAAAACAGCUUCAAACUCAAUGAACAGAUUUUAGUGUCGAUGCUAUGACCCCUGCAAAUCAAGUAAACAAGCAAAAUGAACUUAGGACAAAUUGCCUAUGGAGGAGGCGUAUUUGUUUCCCUAUUUGCCUUGGUCUCAACAAUGGUCACCAGUGAGCAACUAGGGUGUGGCAGAUGCACAAGAAAGCCUCCGAAACCAAGAGGAGAGCCUUCUAAAAGUUGUUAUCCCACGUUGGCUUGUCACCUCAGGGAGACUAACAAGCUCAUGACGUGCCAAGCAGUGCCAUGUCCGCACCCGGAAUCUGAACCGAUGAACCCCAGGCCGCCGAGAAGCGGAACGGAACGUGCGAACUUAACCACUGUGGCACCGGGCCCGGCCCCAUCUCUAGAAUAUUUUACAGCUCAUCCAUGUCAUUCUGAUUUCUGUUCUUAAACUUACUUCAGAGUGGACUCCAUUUUCUGCCUACAGAAGAUUUUCCUUCGGACGUAGUGGCCUAAGAUGCGAAUAAAAAGAUCAUGGCUCAACACUAAGAACAAUGAGUUCCCUGAAAAGUUACCAGAAAAUUAUUUGUCACAUCUCUGAGUGUGUGUGGGGGUGAAUAGUUUCAACCCUCAAUGCAUGGUUCAGGUAGAUAAAUAAAG